CAGCCGCCACGGUAAUACGAAGGGUGCAAGCGUUACUCGGAAUUACUGGGCGUAAAGCGUGCGUAGGUGGUCGUUUAAGUCUGUUGUGAAAGCCCUGGGCUCAACCUGGGAACUGCAGUGGAAACUGGACGACUAGAGUGUGGUAGAGGGUAGCGGAAUUCCUGGUGUAGCAGUGAAAUGCGUAGAGAUCAGGAGGAACAUCCAUGGCGAAGGCAGCUACCUGGACCAACACUGACACUGAGGCACGAAAGCGUGGGGAGCAAACAGGAUUAGAUACCCCAGUAGUCCCUGUCUCUUAUAC
rnacentral:rRNA from 1 species